ACCGGGAUGGCCAAGUGGUUAAGACGUUGGACUUAAGAUCCAAUGGGCAUGUGCCUGCAUGGGUUUGAACCCCAUUCCCGGUA